GAACCUCGAAAACACUUCUGGAUG
rnacentral:siRNA from 1 species